rnacentral:lncRNA from 1 species
AAACAAAAAUUAAAGUGUUAAACGAAACAUAGUAAGAUAAGGCCUUCAGAGGUAGCUGAUUAGGGGCUUGCCGCUAAUCUAGCCUAGAAAUCCUCGAAGUCCUGAAACUUGUCACACCCGGGUUUUAAGGGUCCAAAACCCGGGCACGAAAUAAUCACCAGGUGUGCUGGGACCAAGUCUCACACAUAUGAUGAAUAGUGGUACAGAAAUGAAUGUCACAUAUUUACUAUAUAAUAGGAGUUCUGUACAAAAUAAUUAAAUAAUUACAUCAUAAGGAGACAACGAUCCAGCAACCCAAAGUUGACUGGGAGACGACGGCCUAGACCUCUCACGACCUCGUCACAACAUCCUUUAUGCGCCUCAUCCUGCGGUACCUGUUUUUGACCUGUGGGGGUGCGAGACAGCAAGAGUGAGCUCACAUAUGUUCAUCGCUCAACAAGUUGUGUGGAAUAAUGUGCAUGAACUCGCCAAAGGGGAGCUCACGUGAAGUGUAAGGCUUACCAAAGGGGAUGGUUGAAGCUGGGCAUUGCUUUUAAAGUUGGUCAAAAUUUUAUUAGCAAUUACCAACCCAAUUAAAUAGUAGAACAAAAGUGAUAACAACACCUGCGAUGCAAUGCAUAUGACAAAUUGAAUUUAGUUCCAUAAAUUAAUCAUGUGAGGGUCCGAGCUGCUCAUGACCGUGAGCAUGGCUGAUAUACCAGUUUUACACUCUACAGAGGUUGCAUAUCUUUACCCACAAGUCAUGUUACCCAACUGCCAAGGGAAGGCCACUCCCAUACACCUCUACCAAGGAGGCGAGGCAGGGUAACACUACGGGGCCUUUACAAAGUUUCGCUAGCUUCAGAAAACCCACUAUAGUUUCUAGAAAGCUCCAAUGCUGGGACCCCUCGUCUAACCGCCAUCGCAGCAAAAUCAACCCAAGGGCCUCCCUACACUGACCACUCUCCUACUACCCUUGCCCCUUUUGGGUAAGGUAGUCCUCCACUAGCUUUCCUAAUUAGUCAGGCAAGGGCGUCCCAUACCACCCUUGUGGUAGCACUGUUUUCCCAGGUGAUCGCUCCAUGUUCCAAUUAACAUAAUGAUCUUAUCAUGAACAGUAAAUAACAAACUGAUAAUAAAAGUAUGAUCAUGAAUAAUGUAUAUCUCUAUACCCAAAACCACAUAUAGCAAUAGCAGGUACUACCCAAAAAUUCAGUGAUAAACAAGGUAUAAAGAUAGUAAAUUAGGGUAACCUAUUGGGUCCCAUCAAAAUUAACCUAUGCAUAUCAUUAUGAAUAAUAAGAACAUGACUGGGUAAAAAAAAGUGAUCAAGGGCACAACUUGCUUGGGACUUGAGAUUCUAUGUACCAACUUGCUCUUCAGAUGACACGUGUCCUCAUUGCUAAACGUAGCAAUAAAGACAAACAUGGUAUAGGCAAAAUUAAUAUCACACCAAACAUAAGCAUAAACUGAACAAUAAUAUUCUACGCGUCUUAGCGAGAUCCUAGGUUCGAGAACCACUAAAUUCGGAAUUACGGUUAAAGAGUUAUGAAUUUCUAAAGAUUUAGGAGUGGAGUGUAACACAAAUUAAGUACCAAAAUUUUAAUCUAGGUUUCAUAACAAAAUAAAGCUACAAGGUUGUAGGUAGUGUUAAUACGAACCUAAUGCAACUGAAAUGGGUUAAAUCAGAGUUAUCACGAAGAAGUUAUGAUUUUUCUACGCUUCUAGGUAUUUUUAUAUUUAGUUUACACUUAAAAACAUUACUUAGAAAUCUUUUCCUUAAUUUUUUGGAUUAAUGGACGGCGGCCACAAAAUCUUGAAAGCUCAGGGGCCAAACCGCAAGAAAAAGGAUCAAUCCGCAAUGUUAAAUGAAUUAGGGUGGACAACGGGUCAAUUUGUAAAUAUCACGGGGUCUCUUUUGCAUAAUAAUCCGGGUAAAGAGGUAUGUGCCAAUCUGGACCGUUGGAUCAGAGUUGGACGCGUGAGAUUAAAUCAAGCCCCCUGAAUCGGUAUGCUCUGCAGAUCAUCAGAUUUAAAUCCAACGACCACAUUUAAAUCCGUCCGAUCGGAAAUCAAAGGACCAGAUCCACCCGUGAAACGGCACGCUAAUACCUAAUCUCGUCCGCGCAUCUUACGCUCAACGGCCCAUAACGCUUCACCCGAAGCGGUACACUAACCCUAUUCUUGGCCGCUUCCUUUGAGAUCAACGGCCAAAAGAUCCGUCUUCCACCCUCCUCAGCAGCCAACGCGGCAGCCAGGAACUCCACCGCGGCGGCGCCAUCGCCCCCUCCCCCCGCAACACACCACCCGGCGCCCAAACUUUGAUACGAAUGCUGAUAAACAGUGCGUGGAGCAUGGGGAGCACUAUAGGGCUAUCUUACCGGCAAAUCGGGUAGCGCAGCACCCAGUCCACGGUGCAGGGCGGGUCCACGGCGGAGAUGGUUCUCCAGCGAGAAAUUGCGCCAACCCCGAAGCUUCCCCAGGAAUGCCGAUGCUUUGGAUAUCUUCCAUUCGACCUAGCGACUCCCCAGAGCCACAAUUC